CCUACGGGGGGCAGCAGUGAGGAAUAUUGGUCAAUGGCCGGAAGGCUGAACCAGCCAUGCCGCGUGAAGGUCAGUGCCCUAUGGGCGUUAAACUUCUUUUGUGCGGGAGCAAUAAUGGUCACGUGUGGCCAGACGAGAGUACCGUACGAAUAAGCAUCAGCUAACUCCGUGCCAGCAGCCGCGGUAAUACGGGGGAUGCAAGCGUUAUCCGGAUUUAUUGGGUUUAAAGGGUGCGUAGGCUGUGAGGUAAGUCAGCGGUGAAAUGCCCCCGCUCAACGGGGUGAAGUGCCAUUGAUACUGCCUGGCUGGAAUGCGGAUGCCGUGGGAGGAAUGUGUGGUGUAGCGGUGAAAUGCAUAGAUAUCACACAGAACACCGAUUGCGAAGGCAUCUCACGAAUCCGCGAUUGACGCUGAUGCACGAAAGCGUGGGUAUCAAACAGGAUUAGAUACCCGGGUAGUC
rnacentral:rRNA from 1 species